CUUAGCUUUAAUGUUUACUCACCAUCGUAGAAGCAAACAAUAUUUUCUGUUCUCUUCAAAUGUCAUCAGAAUCCCUGUCCCCAUUCCCGCGUUAGGAAUUUAGACACAAAUUAGAACUGGCUUUGGUGGCUGUCACCAUAGGAAAAGUGAGGACAUUGAUGGUGGAGGAGAACCUGGCAGCCGUGAAUGAUCCUGCCAAAACUUUAGCAACUUUGCCAUGGAUUCUCCCCCUUAAAAAAUGUAAGAGAGAAAAAGACCAGAAAACCAACAGGAUGAGAUAAGGCAAAGGAGUCUGAUGUCAGCCUUGUUUAUUCUGCUAGAAGCUGACCAGGGGAGACAUUACAAAGCUAUGAAAAUGCAGUCCUUACCUUCGAUGAACUUAACAGUCAAAUGGAAGAGACAAAGUCACAAACCCAAAUCAUGGCACAAGUUAUAAAAGAUAUUUGAAGAUGAGACAGUUUCCCUCAUCCUGGUUGCAAGACGAUUGCCUGGAGCUGCAUAUUUCCACGUCAUAUUUCCAAGUAUUCCAAGCAAAGUUCCCAAGAUUCCCUCUGGACCAGCCUAGGUCAUGUGUCCACCCUAACCAGUUUGGCAAAGGAAAUGUAAUGCCCAGAUUGGCUUAAGCCAACAUCGUGUACUUCAUCUUAUACUGAAGGUAGAGCUCCUCUCAGAUCAUGUGGCCUGAAAAUGGAAAUCAGACCGUGGUUAGAAGAUGGGUGAAUGGAUGCUGGAAAGGCAAGUAAUAAAUGUGCUUUCUGCAUACUAGAUGUAAUUGUAGUCAAA
rnacentral:lncRNA from 1 species